CGCGCAAAUUACCCACUCCCGGCACGGGGAGGUAGUGACGAAAAAUAACAAUACGGGACUCUUUUGAGACCCCGUAAUUGGAAUGAGUACACUCUAAAUCCUUUAACGAGGAUCUAUUGGAGGGCAAGUCUGGUGCCAGCAGCCGCGGUAAUUCCAGCUCCAAUAGCGUAUAUUAAAGUUGUUGCGGUUAAAAAGCUCGUAGUUGGAUCUCAGUUCCAGACGGGCGGUCCUCCUAACGGUGGUUACUGCCUGGCCUGAACAGCCAGCCGGUUUCCCUAGAUGAUCUUCACCGGUUGUCUUGGGUGACCGGCACGUUUACUUUGAAAAAAUUAGAGUGCUCAAAGCAGGCGUGUAGCCUGAAUAAUGGUGCAUGGAAUAAUGGAAUAGGACUUCGUUUCUAUUUUGUUGGUUUUCGGAACACGAGGUAAUGAUUAAGAGGGACAGACGGGGGCAUUCGUAUUGCGACGCUAGAGGUGAAAUUCUUGGACCGUC
rnacentral:rRNA from 1 species